AGGUUGAAUUUCACCCUGCAUCCCCGACGUAGCGCUGCUCCGGCUCCUCCCCCGCUUGCUGCCAUUUGGCCUACAGGGACAACCAUGUUGAUGGCGAUUGAAAAAGGAUUCUGAAAUAAUAUUAUUGAGACUGAAGACCAAGUUUGAUAA